rfam:Ovis aries breed Texel chromosome 2, whole genome shotgun sequence.
UCCCUAGUGACUGAGUUGGUAAAGAAUCUGCCUGCAGUGCAGAAGACCCAGAUUCAACUCCUGGGUCAGGAA